GUAGGGAAUCUUCGGCAAUGGACGAAAGUCUGACCGAGCAACGCCGCGUGAGUGAAGAAGGUUUUCGGAUCGUAAAACUCUGUUGUUAGAGAAGAACAAGGAUGAGAGUAACUGUUCAUCCCUUGACGGUAUCUAACCAGAAAGCCACGGCUAACUACGUGCCAGCAGCCGCGGUAAUACGUAGGUGGCAAGCGUUGUCCGGAUUUAUUGGGCGUAAAGCGAGCGCAGGCGGUUUCUUAAGUCUGAUGUGAAAGCCCCCGGCUCAACCGGGGAGGGUCAUUGGAAACUGGGAGACUUGAGUGCAGAAGAGGAGAGUGGAAUUCCAUGUGUAGCGGUGAAAUGCGUAGAUAUAUGGAGGAACACCAGUGGCGAAGGCGGCUCUCUGGUCUGUAACUGACGCUGAGGCUCGAAAGCGUGGGGAGCAAACAGGAUUAGAUACCCGUGUAGUCC
rnacentral:rRNA from 1 species